rfam:Oryza glumipatula chromosome 2, whole genome shotgun sequence.
CUUACGAGCAACUAUGAGUUUCCGUGCCUAAUUUUAAUCGUUCGUUUUAUUUUAAAAAAUAUAAUUAGUAUUUUUUAUUGUUAUGACAUGAUAGAACAUGAAUAUUACUAUAUAUUUGACUUAUGUUUCUAAAUUUUUUAAAAAACUUUUUAAAUAAGACGGACGAUCAAAGUUGAGCACGGAAAAUUAUGGCUGCACUUAUA